ensembl:lncRNA
UCCUGACCGGAAGAUGUCGUUACAGCUUUCCCUCCGACCGCUACAGAGCACUGACACUGGAGACUCCUUCCGUAAACAUAGCCCUGCACCCAUGUAUAGACCUGAUACGGUUAUUAUACCACUCAGGCGACUCAGCCUGGGGUCCAAGUGGUCCACAGCGGCGGGACUCAGAUGGUAAUCCAGCCCCUAGGCAGACAAUGGUGGUCGGCGGGGCACACACACCAUAAUCCAGCCUGCUGCUCCACCUACUAUGAUUAUCCAGCGGGCAAAUCCGACUGUUCGAGUCGUCCAGCCGCAGGUUCUGCCUACAGUGAUCCAGCGACCUGCAGCCAAUACCGUGGUUUAUCGCCGUUAUUACUGAAGUCAUGCGAGUGAACCCUUCCAGGACGACACGGACGACGCUCCAGUGAAGACUCCAGCGGGAUUUUACGCCAUGUUGAAAAUUCCUCCCGUAUUCAUUAUCGAGUCCUUAAUCAGAUCGUAAAAUAAGCGCAGAGUUACGCUCGGACAUCAGCUCUCCUCGUCCACUCGGACUCCUCGUCCGUCCUCGCCGAGAUUCUUUUUCUUCUUCCCUUUUGUGUAUCCGUGGUGAUUAGAUUAGUAAAUCCUUAUGUUAUUGGUGUAUUACCACAAACCCUACAGCGCGGUACGAGCCAGGUGUGCACAAACGGUACUCGUGUAAUAAUGUAAUAAAGUAAUGAAGUCAUACGUUUUGAUGAAUAAGGGACAGCAACGAGUACGGCUGUAUAUCAGGUCAGGUAUGAGAUUAAGAUCAUCGCGAUGCGAUUCAUGGUUUCUGGGUAAGGUUUUCUCAUCGAGGUGUCAGCAGCCUUCCAAACGAGGCUUUUGGGGUUUUUUUUUCUUUUCUUUUCUUUAAUGGUAUGAAACGCUCCAGAGUGAGAACGUGCACACUGCAAAGGAGGUGCAUGAUUGUAAGGGGAGGGUGGGUGUGGCGGGGGGGGCAUCCAUUUCCACGGUGUUCAUUAAUCACCUAUCAAUAUAACAUCACAAUAAAAUCUGAUUAAAUCACACUUUCUCCUGUAUCAACACAAGCCUGUUCACUUACUGACUAAAGACGCUCAUAAACCACUUUGUCAAUGUCACACACGGCUUAAGAAAGUGUCAUAAAGUCUAUUAUAAUGCAGUCUAUUAGCACUUUAUAAAUAUGUUUCCUUUUAAAUAAUCAUAGCAGUGUGUCGAACACCUUACGAAUGCACUGUAAACGUGUUACGCAGGUACUUGUGGGUCAUGACAUCUUUGGCCUCUGUAGAAAGUGUUACAUGUGUAUUACAUGUGUAUUUUUUUUUGUUUUCCCAUCGUCUUAACCCUCGUGUUUUAUUUAGACGACGUUUUACUCGCCGUCGGGUGUCGCGGAGACCUCAGUCGCUCGUGUCUGACGUUAUAAUAAACGUUCUAUUGAAUCACGAA